UACCGGCCUGGAAGGGGGAUCGCCCAACUGGGACUGAGACCCGGCCCAGAUUCUUACGGGAGGCAGCAGUAGGGAUCUUCCGCAAUGGACGAAAGUCUGACGGAGCAACGCCGCUUGAAUGAUGAAGGUUUUCGGAUCGUAAAGCUCUGUUGUUAGGGAAGAACAAGUGCGAGAGUAACUGCUCGCACCUUGACGGUACCUAACCAGAAAGCCACGGCUAACUACGUGCCAGCAGCCGCGGUAAUAUAUAGGUGGCAAGCGUUGUCCGGAAUUAUUGGGCGUAAAGGGCUCGCAGGCGGUUUCUUAAGUCUGAUGUGAAAGCUCCCGGCUCAACCGGGGAGGGUCAUUGGAAACUGGGAAACUUGAGUGCAGAAGAGGAGAGUGGAAUUCCACGUGUAGCGGUGAAAUGCGUAGAGAUGUGGAGGAACACCAGUGGCGAAGGCGACUCUCUGGUCUGUAACUGACGCUGAGGAGCGAAAGCGUGGGGAGCGAACAGGAUUAGAUACCCUGGUAGUCCACGCCGUAAACGAUGAGUGCUAAGUGUUAGGGGGUUUCCGCCCCUUAGUGCUGCAGCUAACGCAUUAAGCACUCCGCCUGGGGAGUACGGUCGCAAGACUGAAACUCAAAGGAAUUGACGGGGGCCCGCACAAGCGGUGGAGCAUGUGGUUUAAUUCGAAGCAACGCGAAGAACCUUACCAGGUCUUGACAUCCUCUGACAACCCUAGAGAUAGGGCUUUCCCUUCGGGGACAGAGUGACAGGUGGUGCAUGGUUGUCGUCAGCUCGUGUCGUGAGAUGUUGGGUUAAGUCCCGCAACGAGCGCAACCCUUGAUCUUAGUUGCCAGCAUUUAGUUGGGCACUCUAAGGUGACUGCCGGUGACAAACCGGAGGAAGGUGGGGAUGACGUCAAAUCAUCAUGCCCCUUAUGACCUGGGCUACACACGUGCUACAAUGGACAGAACAAAGGGCUGCGAGACCGCAAGGUUUAGCCAAUCCCAUAAAUCUGUUCUCAGUUCGGAUCGCAGUCUGCAACUCGACUGCGUGAAGCUGGAAUCGCUAGUAAUCGCGGAUCAGCAUGCCGCGGUGAAUACGUUCCCGGGCCUUGUACACACCGCCCGUCACACCACGAGAGUUUGCAACACCCGAAGUCGGUGAAGGUAACCUUUAUGGAGCCGGCGUAAGGGAAUGAUAGGAAAGGGGAA
rnacentral:rRNA from 1 species